GUCAGGCACAAUGUAGGACACCAGAGGAGUAAGAGGUCCGGACCCUUUCUCCGUCUUCACAGGGCGACCAGAGGAUUGGGUAAGAAACUGAUUCCAAUCAGUAUACAAAGAAGAAUGACUCGGUGUGACACUCUGAAGCGCCGGGAUGGACUGGGGAAUCAAGCCCACAUGAUCACAAGAAAACGGACAGUUCCUGUGCAAGGCAGCACCAGUGACAUCAUCUUGAUGUCCCCAACACCUGAACUUGAAUCUGGCUCAAACCUCUGGCUCUGACAGGAAAGCCAAAUGACAUCCAAACAUGCUAGGGACAAUGGCAGGCACAUCAGCAACCGUGGCAUAUGCCCACAUCUUCCACGCCCACGCACGGAAAACCACAAAGUAACUACAUUGGUUUCCUCAAUUUAAAAAAAUAAAAUAAAAUGGGAUGGGAGUCAGUCUAGAUGAAUGAAUUGAAUUUGUUUCGAUUCCAACACAAACAAGCUUUUGAAAAAUAAAAUUCGUAUGAUAAUCUGGAAAACAUAAA